GACGAACGCUGGCGGCGUGCCUAAUACAUGCAAGUAGAACGCUGAAGGAGGAGCUUGCUUCUCUGGAUGAGUUGCGAACGGGUGAGUAACGCGUAGGUAACCUGCCUGGUAGCGGGGGAUAACUAUUGGAAACGAUAGCUAAUACCGCAUAAUAGUAGAUGUUGCAUGACAUUUGCUUAAAAGGUGCAAUUGCAUCACUACCAGAUGGACCUGCGUUGUAUUAGCUAGUUGGUGGGGUAACGGCUCACCAAGGCGACAAUACAUAGCCGACCUGAGAGGGGGCUCGGCCACACUGGGACUGAGACACGGCCCAGACUCCUACGGGAGGCAGCAGUAGGGAAUCUUCGGCAAUGGACGGAAGUCUGACCGAGCAACGCCGCGUGAGUGAAGAAGGUUUUCGGAUCGUAAAGCUCUGUUGUAAGAGAAGAACGAGUGUGAGAGUGGAAAGUUCACACUGUGACGGUAUCUUACCAGAAAGGGACGGCUAACUACGUG
rnacentral:rRNA from 1 species